GACGAACGCUGGCGGCGUGCUUAACACAUGCAAGUCGAACGGAAAGGCCCUGCUUUUGUGGGGUGCUCGAGUGGCGAACGGGUGAGUAACACGUGAGUAACCUGCCCUUGACUUUGGUAUAACUUCAGGAAACUGGGGCUAAUACCGGAUAGGAUCUCCUGCUGCAUGGUGGGGGUUGGAAAGUUUCGGCGGUUGGGGAUGGACUCGCGGCUUAUCAGCUUGUUGGUGGGGUAGUGGCUUACCAAGGCUUUGACGGGUAGCCGGCCUGAGAGGGUGACCGGCCACAUUGGGACUGAGAUACGGCCCAGACUCCUACGGGAGGCAGCAGUGGGGAAUAUUGCACAAUGGGCGGAAGCCUGAUGCAGCAACGCCGCGUGCGGGAUGACGGCCUUCGGGUUGUAAACCGCUUUAGCCUGUGACGAAGCGUGAGUGACGGUAAUGGGUAAAGAAGCACCGGCUAACUACGUG
rnacentral:rRNA from 1 species